GAGGAGGAUGGAGGAAGUUGUGGCCAGCUGGUAAAGCAGCGAGGAGGUUCUAUGGACAGGAAGGUGAAAGUGUCAGUCGCUCAGUCCUGUCUGACUUUUUGCGACCUCCUGGACUGUACCCUGCCAAGCUCCUCUGUCCCUGAAAUCCUCCAGGCAAGAAUGCUGGAGUGGGUAGCCAUUCGCUUCUCCAGGGGAUCUUCCCAACCCAGGGAUCUAACCCCGAGUCUCCUGCAUUGCUGGCAGAUUCUUUACUACCUCAGCCACCAGAGAAGCCCCACUAUGGCCAUGAGGCCCCUACUUUGAACUCUGUCGUCUUCCGAGAAGAAUAAGGACUCCUCUCUCUUGAUAAAAUUUGGUCCCAGCAACUAACAAUCUUUGCUGCUGCUGCUAAGUCGCUUCAGUCGUGUCCAACUCUGUGCGACCCCAUAGAUGGCAGCCCACCAGGCCCCGCCGUCCCUGGGAUUCUCCAGGCAAGCACACUGGAGUGGGUUGCCAUUUCCUCCUCCAAUGCAUGAAAGUGGAAAGUGAAAGUGAAGCCGCGCAGUCGUGUCCGACUCUUAGCGACCCCAACUCUUAGCGACCCCAUGGACUGCAGCCUACCAGGCUCCUCCAUCCGUCGGAUUUUCCAGGCAAGAGUACUGGAGUGGGGUGCCUUUAGUUGAGACUUAAAUAUCUGGGCACAAUCAUGAUGUCAUCUGUUGGUGAAGAGCAGGAUGGUUAAAAUUAUCCCAGGACAACUGAACUCCUAUUGCCUGCGGCAGGAGAACUUAGGAAGUAUUCAGAAGUGAUCAUGAUUGAGAUUGGCCAAGAUCAUGAUUGAGACUAAUAUGGGCGUACAUCCUCAAGUUCAGACCGGGACUUAAAAUGUCCAAGAGACUGGGAUGAAGUAGAGUUGGCUCCACUGGCCUGGAGUGGAUUCCUGGCUGAAGACCCAGGGCACUGACUUGAGUGGUGAGAUUUCCAAAAUAUAAAAGGAAACAGCAAUCGAGAAGGAGGAAAGAGAAUGGUUGUAUUCCAGACACCAAUCAUGAAGAUCUUGCUUGGCACAUGAAGAUGUCAGCAUGAUUUCAUGAAUGAAUGCAUGCUCUUCUCUUUUAUUCUCAUCUCUUCAUAUAUUUAUAUACUUCUGUUUAUCUCACCAUAAUUUGGUUUGCCCUACAAUAGCUGCAGGCCUGGGAAAACUCCAGUU
ensembl:lncRNA